ensembl:snoRNA LOC120096426 small nucleolar RNA U13
AUCCUUUCGGUUCAUAAAGCGUGAUGACUGGGUGUUUGUGCCAUUGCAUGCAGGACAUGUGCAAUCCACUAAACCUUGUUACGACAUGGGCACAUUACCCAUCUGACA